rnacentral:rRNA from 1 species
AUUGAACGCUGGCGGCAUGCCUUACACAUGCAAGUCGAGCGGUAACAGGUCUUCGGAUGCUGACGAGUGGCGAACGGGUGAGUAAUACAUCGGAACGUGCCUAGAAGUGGGGGAUAACUACUCGAAAGAGUGGCUAAUACCGCAUGAGAUCUACGGAUGAAAGCAGGGGAUCGCAAGACCUUGUGCUACUAGAGCGGCCGAUGGCAGAUUAGGUAGUUGGUGGGAUAAAAGCUUACCAAGCCGACGACCUGUAGCUGGUCUGAGAGGACGAUCAGCCACACUGGGACUGAGACACGGCCCAGACUCCUACGGGAGGCAGCAGUGGGGAAUUUUGGACAAUGGGCGAAAGCCUGAUCCAGCAAUGCCGCGUGCAGGAUGAAGGCCUUCGGGUUGUAAACUGCUUUUGUACGGAACGAAAAGCCCCGGGUUAAUACCCUGGGGUCAUGACGGUACCGUAAGAAUAAGCACCGGCUAACUACGUGCCAGCAGCCGCAGUAA